rnacentral:rRNA from 1 species
GGCUCAGAAACUCAAAGGAAUUGACGGGGGCCCGCACAAGCGGUGGAGUAUGUGGUUUAAUUCGAUGCAACGCGAAGAACCUUACCUAGGUUUGACAUCCGGAAGACUUCCCGAAAAGGAAGGGUGCCCUUCGGGGAAUUCCGAGACAGGUGCUGCAUGGCUGUCGUCAGCUCGUGCCGUGAGGUGUUGGGUUAAGUCCCGCAACGAGCGCAACCCUAUUGCCAGUUGCUACCAGGUAAUGCUGGGCACUCUGGUGAGACUGCCCCGGUUAACGGGGAGGAAGGUGGGGACGACGUCAAGUCAUCAUGGCCCUUACGCCUAGGGCUACACACGUACUACAAUGGCGCAUACAAAGGGCAGCGAUACCGCGAGGUGGAGCCAAUCCCAAAAAGUGCGUCCCAGUCCGGAUUGCAGUCUGCAACUCGACUGCAUGAAGUUGGAAUCGCUAGUAAUUCGAGAUCAGCAUGCUCGGGUGAAUGCGUUCCCGGGCCUU